ACACACACACACACACACACACACACACACACACACACACACGUAUAACAAUAAUUAUUCAGCACUCAUGGUCAGAGAGGAUAUCCUGCUGGCCGCCCGCCACAGCGACUCAAUAUCAGGUGUACGUGCAGGAACAGUCGCUCACAGCUACAGGGUGAACCCUCUCAUCUUGGAGAAACCCCGUCAGGGUUGACCCACCCUUUAUUACACAAGGGUGAAGUCACGUCUUAAAAGGCAGCAAUAAUGAGAACAGAAGCACGACUGCUUUGGGUCACGUAUGCGCAGGGGGAGGCGUUAUUGAUUUCACAAAACUGAAACUCUAAAUUUAGAAGAAAUUGCUGCAUAUGUUCUGAAUGCAGAGGAAAAAAAACAGUAUCUGUCCCCUUGUUUAAGAUUGUUACAGUUGGCUUUUAAAUGUAAAACCAAAACCACAAAUUAAAAAUAUAGCUCUCUAACAUGUUGGACUGAAUGGUGUUUUUUGUGCAUAUAUUACAAUUGAACGAGCAUUACAUCAAAUAUUAGACCACAGUCACAACUGUGAGUGUUGUAGUCUCAGAGCAGAUACUCUUGUCAGUUUCCUUUGUCCAAAACAGCUUGUUAUAUCAUCACUAUAUCUAAUUUGAUUUGAUACCCCAGAAUACAAUGCAGAUCUUUUAACCCAUAUUCUGCUGGUGGAAAAGAAAAUCAAUUUGUCACAGAGGUUUUAACACCAGAGUAAAACAGAUUAGAGUUAAAAGGAGAACAUUUCAGUAAUUUUCAGUCUGAUCAGUUGAUACCAGUUGAAAGUUUGUGGUUAACCUGUAGCAUUUUUGGUUAAGUAAAAAUUAUUUGUAAACACAUAAAUAAAUGGAAAUAUACAUCAGGGAAAGUGUUGACCUUUAAUUUAAAUCAAAAUGAUUUAGAUCUAAUUAGAAAUGAUAUAAAUCGUGAUAAUUUUAAUUAGUCCCCUGUAGUAGAUAACAUACUUUAUUUAGGAUAUAUAUUAGUGUAUAUAGGUUUAUAUAUACAUAAUGUACAGUAUAUAGGAUUUAGUAGUAUUUAGAAGUUGAUCUUGCACCAGGCCUUCACUAAAACAGGAAGGCAGUUUCUAGAUGCUUUUUGAUUGUUUUUUGAUUUAAACAAUUAAAAGGCAUCUAGAAACUGAGGAAAACUGAUCAAAAAUUUAGGUUGUAGGUAAAACAGUUUAAGAUUUAGGCAGAAAUGCUGUAAAGUGCUCCUGUCAUCUCUAAGCAUGUGACCACUGAGGACACACACACUGAAAGCAGUUCAGAAUCAGAAUGAGAAAUACUUUAUUGAUCCCCGAGGGGAAACUCUUUCGUUACAGCUGCUCACUAUCAUGUCAGUGCACACAGGAAUAGAAGUACUAAUAGAAUAGAAAUAGAAAUAGAAAUAGUAAUAAAAUAAGUCCACAACCAACAAGUUGACCAGAUGAUCUCAGACUGCUGUAGGAGCCACGUGAUUUGUUGGUGUUAGACGCAAACAGCUUAUGGAGUUAAACUAAUUAUCCAUGCUGGCUGGGCCUCUACAUGUAUGCCUCACAUGUUUAGACUGUAAAUGGUUUAAAAUGUUUUUUACUUUAUACUUCUAAUCGUUAUAUCCUAAUUGUACAGCGGUGGGACCAAAAGGAGGCUUGUCAGUGAGAAAUGUGCAAAUUGCUGAAAGAAUAACAAUACUGGCGAUGAACGCAGUCCAUUUUUAGUACCAUUUUUAGAUGGAUAACAAUCAUUUUAAUACAGAAAUGUCAGAGACUGGAGAGAAGAAGCAGAAAGUGGGUUUUUGGAGGUGAGAAAGAUUGCUCCCAGGGCUUCAUUGUUUCUGGAAUAUAAACAUUCAGAGCAGCUGCACCACUGAACCUCCCUAACCCACCACUCCUGCCUGUUUCCUGAACAGGCAUGCACACACCCUCACAGACACACACACACACACACACACACACACACACACGUGAGUAAGGUCAGCAGAGCUAUUUUUGGAAGUAGCGGUUAAUCGCUCUGCUUCAGCGUGCCUCUAUAAAGCCUGGAUACACGCUCCAGUCCAGUUAUACUCAACUGAGUAGACUAGACAUCACUCUGUUUCACUCUGCGUGUGAAACCUACAACUCAAGCAUCAAAGCAUGAAACGCAGGCAGUUGUUGCUCUUUCUGCCUCUCUUACCCACCAUUACUGAGACGCUCGAGGACUUGCCUGUCCAUCCCUCAUCCACCCAAUCUAUGCAGAGCUCCCAGUCUCUAGAGGACUACAUGACCAGUAUCCAGGCCCUCGCCCGCCCUGUUGAGGCCCCAGGCUGCGGCCCCGUCAGACACCAGACGUCCCCCUGGCUGCGGCACUUCUCAAAGGGUCAGAUUAAGCUCUCUGUCUCAGCCUCACUUCCUUGCGGGUCUCCCCACACACUAAGGACUUCCAGGCCUUACAGUCUGAGUCUAAACAGCAAAGAGGAUUUUUCUCUCAAGAUGGGCAGAGAAAAAGACUUCAUGGGCAAAGACCCCGUAGACUGGCUGUUUGGACAGAUAAGGACUUGAAGAGAGUUGUGGGAAGCACAGAAGGCACUUUGGUGGAGUAUCUCAUAAUCAAAAAUGGCUGGAAGAACCUGCUCUGUUUAGGAAGAUGAAAACAAUGCAAUGUAUGAUGGGACUUAUUAUGAUGGCUGGACAAAGACAAAAUCACCUAAAGGCUUGUGAGAAAAGUGAAGAUCUAUUUAUUUCUAUGCACUGAGGACUCAAGUCUACAUGUUUACGGUAUUCAAUAUUUUGUAAAGAUGUAAAGGAUAUAGUUUCUAAUAAAAUACAAAAAUAAUAAUGUA